rnacentral:rRNA from 1 species
UACGAAGGGGGCUAGCGUUGUUCGGAAUUACUGGGCGUAAAGCGCGCGCAGGCGGUCUUCCAAGUCAGUGGUGAAAGCCCGGAGCUCAACUCCGGAACUGCCAUUGAAACUGUUAGACUUGAGGACGAGAGAGGUGAGUGGAAUUCCCAGUGUAGAGGUGAAAUUCGUAGAUAUUGGGAAGAACACCGGUGGCGAAGGCGGCUCACCGGCUCGUAUCUGACGCUCAGGCGCGACAGCGUGGGGAUCAAACAGG